AUCGGUAGCUGGUCUGAGAGGACGAUCAGCCACACUGGGACUGAGACACGGCCCAGACUCUCGNGNNGACGACGNGGAGUUACGUCGUACUUACGCGAAGUCGACGACGCGACGACGACGACGACGGACGGAGGAGGACUGGUGUUACCGUUUCGUUACUUACCGUAGAGUAGUAGUAAGUCACGAGCGUACCGCGAGACGNGAGCACNGCUACUCCGUNNACCCGUACGGUCCGACCGACGGACGGUAACGGCCCGGGUAACGGGUAACGACGGGAACGUAAGUCGUACGAACGGUACGUUUACGUACCGGUUAAGGUACGUUAACGGUCCGGGUACCGUAACGGUCCGGUCCGGACGUAGGGUUACGACGUUACGUUACGUAACGUUCGUACGAACGGUUCCGGUACCGUAAAACGGGUACCGGGGUAACUUACCGUAACGGGUAACGACGUAGGUAACGAACGUACGUAAAACGAGUUAACGUAAGGGUAACGGUACGUAGGGGGUAACGGGUACGUUACGGGAAGGGUUAACGUUACCGGUGGUUAGUAACGGUCGGUAAGUAAAGUCGGUACGUAAGGAACGUAACGUACGAAGGUAACGACGUCGGACCGGUCCGGUACGACGGUCGUACCGGGUACGUAAGGUUACGGUACGGUACGGGACGACGGAACGGACGAACGUACGGGAGGUACGAG
rnacentral:rRNA from 1 species